AAACAUAUCUUUAUCAUCACUUAGAUUAAUAUGCACAAUAUAGCAACCAAGUUAUACCCUAGCACAAGGUUUUGACCCACUAAUGCUGUUUUAAAAGAUAUAUUAAGUGAAUCAAAAUUUAUAACAGUUAUAACUGAUACACUUUUCAUGCGAACUUUGUUAUAUAGAGAAGGUUACUUAGUAUGGAAAAUUUUCAGAUAAACUAUCGAUCAAGACAUCAAGUAUUCCCUGUAUCCAGUUUUUGCUUCAUAGGGAAUUAGGGAUUGACCAAAGUCGAACUCACCAGGAUUAGUGUAAGGGCCCAUACUAUGUGUGCUUGGGCCUGGGCUUGUACGUGGACCAAACAUCAGGUUUCAUUGUCCUAAGGAAAAAGUACACCAAAGGUCCCUCAACUUGUCAUCGAGCUACAAAAUCAUCCCUCAACCACAAAACCGGAUACAACGCAUCUUCUAACUUACAAAACCAGUAUAAACUGGGUCCCUCGAUGGUUUUGACCUGGUUUUAUCCAACGUGGCGGCUGAAUCAGCGUGAGACCCACGUGGACCCCACGUGUCAGGAUGCCACGUCGGCAAGCCAUCCUCUCUCUUCCUCUCCUUUCCUCUCUCUCACUCUUCUCUCUGACUCUAGGCAGGCCGGCCGGCGGGCGGCGGUGACGUGGGAGAAGGGGAAGAUGGCGGCAGGGCGAGGCGGUGUCGAUGAGCGAGUGCGGUGGCGGAGAGGCGGCGACAGCUGCCACGCAGGAGGGGAGGCCGGCGCCGACCCAGAAGCGGAAGCCGAAGGCGACGGUGUGGGCGAGCGUGGAGGCAGAGGAAGGCCAUGGCGACGAAGGCCGCGUGCGCGACGUGUCCGCUCCGCAAGGGGCUCCUCCGGGAGGCCACCGCCAUCACCGAGUGCCUCCACACCUGUAUGGAAGUUUGCUGAUGUGUUGUUAACAAUUUGCUCGAAGUCAUCGAAGAACUGAAGAUGUGGUUUGGGGUGGUUCAUUAUGCAACAAAGGUAAAGUUAUCUAGUCCAAAGUGAAAAGAUUGGACAAAGGAUAGUCCAAAGUGAAACUUUGACAAUAAAAUAUGACCCAAAGUGAAAUUAACUCUUAAUAUAUAUACGAGGCAAAACUUUUUCCCU